rnacentral:lncRNA from 1 species
AUGCACCUGCUACGCUCCUCCAGCGCCCGGACCUCCAAAGCCGGCCUCUCCCCUCUCCUGCUCCCGGCGGCGUGGGCUAUGGACUCAGGGGCACCUCUGAGCCACCCUGCAGAGGUGCACGUGGCCAUUGCCCUCGGGGCCUGCGGGGCGCUCUGGACACUGGGCAUCCUUCUUUUUGUCAUCCUCUUCCUCACAAACAGAGGGAGGGCGGAGCACUUCCUCCAGGGGCAGCCGUGGCUCUGGGAGCUGACGCACGUCGUGGCCUGGAUCUGGGCAUUCCACCUGGGGCUGACUGCGAACCUGGUGUGGGUCUGGCACCGGCUCCAAGGGCUUGACCCCAGCCAGAGGACACACUGGAUAGACAGGCUCUCCUGGACUUCGCUCACAUUCCUGCCCAUCGUCCCCUUUGCCGCGGUGGUCACCGUCAGCGCUGUGCUUCUGAUCAAGGGACAAGGUACUGGGGUGGGGCUGGGGCAUCCUACCACCCCCCAGGGGCCCCUCCUCCGCUCACUAGUCAGUAUCUGGCUCCCGCCCAGGGCUGAGCUUCAAGAACAGGUCUUUGGUAUCACCUGAACCCACCGAUUCUAUAGGUCCAGUUGGCCUGGCAGGUAGAAGGGUCAUGGACACUAGCCAUGUGCUGGCCUCGGCUGCUGUGGGGUGGCGGUUAGUAAAGGUGGCUGGCUCUGCCCCUUGCAUCAGGGCACAGGGCAGAGAUGGGGAAAAGACUGGGCAAGGGGUAGCAGUAUACACGGGGACAGAGCCCACCAAUGUCCAAGCCACAGCCCUAGGGCUUCCAGGGGUCCUCGGACAAUCACCUUGUGCCUCAGUUUUUCCACCUGUGAAAUGGGAGCAGAGGCUGCUAGAGGUGCUCACCUGCGGGUCAAGCGUAGCCUAACUCCACUGGCUACUCCUGAGGGACGGGGCUCACCCCAAGUCUCAGGAGCUGAAGAGGGACGGCAUGUAAGACAAGGGGCCAGAGAGUGGGCCCUUGGGAAGCCUGACUGGGGGUGGUGGUGUGUGUGGUGUGAGUACUCAGGAGCCUGAGGAGUAGUGUGAGCAACCGAGAACCCGUCUUGGGGGGUCCACGGCAAGAGCUGGGACAGUGCAGGGCCUCCACGGGGGUGGGCGGGGGGCAGCCUUGGCAGGCUGAGCGCACUGCUCACCCCCUUCCUCCUAGUGUCUUUCCAGCUCAGCAUUCGUGCGAAGAGGUGAAACAGGGUCCCCGCUUCCCCUGAUCCAUGCAGGUCACGAUGGGGGUGGGGAGGCAGGGGGGCAGAGGCAGGUAGGGAGUGGAUGGCGCGUUGGGCAGGGCUUCCCACGCAGCUGUCGCGUCUAGACUGCAGAACUGGGAAGAUGUGAGUCCUGAGAAAACUGGGGGCAGAGGAGAACAAAGCGCUGGCUCAGACCUGUCCUGGGAGGAGGCAUCCGGGGGCAGUAAAGCAGAGACAAGUGACCGAGAGAUCCGGGAUGCUGGGAAGACUUAAAGGCCUCUCUCCACUGAGUCCCUCACUUCGCCCCAGAAAUUAAAGGACGGGGCCAAUCACAGCCCCGUUGUCUUGAGUGUAUGUCAUAU